rnacentral:rRNA from 1 species
GGUAACGCCGGGCAAGGAGCCGCGGUAAUACGGAUGAUCCAAGGGUUAUCCGGAAGCAUUGGGUUUAAAGGGUCCGUAGGCGGCCUUAUAAGUCAGUGGUGAAAGCCCAUCGCUUAACGAUGGAACGGCCAUUGAUACUGUAGGGCUUGAAUUUUUGUGAAGUAACUAGAAUAUGUAGUGUAGCGGUGAAAUGCUUAGAUAUUACAUGGAAUACCAAUUGCGAAGGCAGGUUACUAACAAACAAUUGACGCUGAUGGACGAAAGCGUGGGGAGCGAACAGGAUUAGAUACCCUGGUAGUC